rnacentral:lncRNA from 1 species
UAGAAAAUAAAUUAAAGUUCUGAAAAUAAAUCAAAUGUGCUAAAAAAAUUAGUUAAACACGUUAUAAGUUAAAGUUGAUAUGCUCGAAGUCGAUUUUAAUUUGUAAAGUUAAUUAUUAACCUAAAACAUGCUUUCUAGGCGACAAACAUAUCAUUUAAUAAUUCCUAAAUUACAUUUGCCUAAGUGAUUCACAUAAUCACGUAAAGCCCGUAAACCCCGCCCCCUACCAGUCCCAUAAUUUUUAUUAUCAAUACGUCAUUUGUACAAUAAAUUAUUUCAGACCCAUAGAAAAAAAGCGCAAAAGAGAUUAAAAAAAACAUAAGAAACUAGACAACAUUUCCAAUUUCUCGGUGAGUCUUCAUCCACGCCGAAGGCUAGAUAGUAUCUGUAGGACAAAGGCAGCUUAUCCCAAAUGCACAACAAACAAACAUAUGGAGAAACAAUGAAUUCACCAACAUGUCACAUAAACAACUUUAUAGAGUUUAGAAGGCAAACAGGACAGACACUCAAAAUUAUCAUGUAAUAAGCAAAUGCGUCGUCUAAGGAAACUAACCAGUUUGUAGCAAUAAGCAGUUAAAUAAAAGUCUGAAAAUCAGCACUUUGACCUACACACAGCAGUUGUAGUGAAUAAGACACCGAUCCAAAAUUCCUUUUAAUAAUACUUACCUGAGACAAAAGAACUGAAGAGUAUUUUUAUUUCUUUUGUAUAGAGCAAAGAUAGUUAAAAACUUGGUCUUGUAAUAGCCGAUGAAAAAGUAGAUGAAAAGGGAAGAUGAGGGGGUUCACAUAGCUAAACAACAAUAACAACACAACCAGUAUAUUUCCACAAAGUACGGUGAUUUAUAUAGCUAAGGGUCAGGAAAAUAAAAGGAAGGAGAUUAUUUUAUAGAUCAAUUAAGAAAAAAUAAACAUCUCCGAUUUACCUUAAAAGACAAGUCAGAAUAUAUAUUCAAAUUCAAGAGUAGGGUAAAAAUAUUAAUCAAGCUGUAAAAAUAGGGAUACAGAUGGAUAUUUUCCAUAUACAAUUAAAAACACAGUCACAUCAAACUGGUACAAAACAGGUCCAAUUUACCAUAAUUCAGAGUAACCAUCUACUCAGAAUAAAAUCCAGAUGCUUAGCAGGCAAAAAUCACAAUAUACCAAAAGAAUUAAUAUACUAUUGUAAUUAUGCGAGUAAUUCAAUCAACCGAGUCAAAUUUUUAGAAUCAAAGUUGUGAGGUUACCACGACAGUAGACAAUGGAAUUGCAUGCCUAGGAAAAUCGAUCCCUAAUAUUAAAUAAAAUCUAGGGUUGACGAAAAUUCACAAAAAUUAGGCAUUCUUGCAUAUGUUGAUCUAAACACAUAAACACAUACGAAAUUGAAAGAAUCAAUUCAAAAUUCACAGUCAUAUUUCAUUAAUUUUUAAAUCCAAAGAAAAAAAUCAGUCAGGGGAAAAAUGGGUAGAAAGAGGAAAUUCACAUAUAGCAACAAGCCUGAGACGGAUUCCGAGAUUCAUCAUGGACUUUACUCUUUUUCGACGUCAGUUGGCCGUAGUUUGGAAUAGCAUCGUGGGUAUGGUGUUGUUUUCCAGCGGAGAAUGAUAGACACUUUCCGAAACCCUGUUAGAAAGGUGGCGGCGAUAGGCGGUUCACUGGCUACCGAUGAACGGAGCGACGACUUUUAUUGGAGUUUUGUCAAUUGAGUGGCAACCAUUGGUUGAAGGCAGCGACUGGGAACAUAGAAGUGGGGGCGAGUGUGGUCGCCUUCAACAGCUAGAGCGAAGCAAGGAAGACAGAAGGCUCCGGAGUGGCUCGCUGACCUAAGUCUCAGCUGGAGAAGGAUAUGGUGCUAUCGGAUUCUAGAGAGAAAGAGAGAAAGAGAGGAGAGAAGGGGUUGGCGAUGGGUGGACUGUUGUUGUGGUGGUGGCGCCGGAGGUAAAGAGAAAGGGGGAGAGAGAAAAGGAGAAAAAAUAAAGAGGGCGGUGACAACAAUCAUGGCUGUUGCUGUUAAGGCCAUGGUGUUGAUAGAGGGGGAAGAGAGAGAGGAGAGGGAGGUGCAGUUGUGAGGGAUGAAAUGGUUAGGCUUUGGGGUAAUUGGGUAUAAA